rnacentral:tRNA from 1 species
GGUACUGCGCCGGAUUGAACGGGUUAUAUUGAUGUUAUAAACUAAAAGGUUUUUAACCUUCAGUGCUC